rnacentral:sRNA from 1 species
UCGUCCACCUGCUGGGGGCAGAUGAAAUGGAUAUGGGAGUCGAUCCCGCCGGCGGUGAGGAUGCUCCCUUCACCGGCGAUCGCUUCGGUAGCCGGGCCGAUGAUGAUAUUGACCCCCGGUUGUACGUCGGGAUUGCCGGCCUUGCCGAUGGCCGCGAUACGUCCGUUCUUGAUCCCCACGUCCGCCUUGACGAUACCCCAGUGGUCGACGAUCAGGGCGUUGGUGAUCACCGUAUCCACCACCUCCUGGCUGGGUCGCUGACUCUGGCCCAUACCGUCCCGG